GACGAACGCUGGCGGCGUGCCUAAUACAUGCAAGUCGAACGCAGUGGGGACGGGUGAGUAACACGUGGGUAACCUCCCAUCAGAGGGGAUAACACUUGGAAACAGGUGCUAAACCGAUACUGAUGGAUGGACCCGCGGUGCAUUAGCUAGUUGGUGAGGAAACGGCUCACCAAGGCCACGAUGCAUAGCCGACCUGAGAGGCGGAUCGGCCAAACGGGGACUGAGACACGGCCCAGAGUCCUACGGGAGGCAGCAGUAGGGAAUCUUCGGCAAUGGACGAAAGUCUGACCGAGCAACGCCGCGUGAGUGAAGAAGGUUUUCGGAUCGUAAAACGCUGUUGUGAGAGAAGCGGUACUUAACCAGAAAGGGACGGCUAACUACGUGCCAGCAGCCGCGGUAAUAC
rnacentral:rRNA from 1 species